rnacentral:lncRNA from 1 species
UGGGAAACCACGUCAGAGCAGAAGGAAGCUGUAAGAAUCCAGGCAAUUAAGGCAGGGUUCUGUCCAGUUCAACACAUUUUCUUUAAGUCUUUCACACUUUGAAUGUGACUUCUUUCAGGGGAAAGGGAGAAGUAUUACAGAAAGCUAGUUAUGGUUCUGGUAGACUGCACAGACCUGAGUGGAGCAAGAACCACAUCCUCCAUGAAGGCUUCAGCUGUGCAUUAUCUGCUGUUAGGCUCUUCUGUUACUUCGUAUUCUGUAGCAUUUGAGGGGUCUGUAACAGCACUCCUGUGGUCUUUGUGUGUUCUGCAAAGUCUGUUUUGCUCGAUAUGGGAGAUUUGUUUAAUCUGAGGCUUGGGUGGGAUUUUACUUUUUUUAUUUAUAUAAACUGUUGUAGCAUUACUACAGUACAUAAAUUUGUGUUUUAACUUUACAGAGUCAGUAUCGUGGCUUGCAUACAUUAGAAAAGAAAUCAGAUACAGGUUUAAAGGAUACAAAGGAACAUCAAAACUGCUCUGCUUCCUUACGAUCUUCCUCGAUGUAAAAAGAUGUCAGGAGGAAAAAAACUCCUCCAAAGACACCAACAAAAACACAGAUGAUGAAGCUGUACUGCAGGCUGCAGAAACUCCAGUGGAAUGACUGAUCUUUCUUGGCUUGAAUAGCAUUGGAGAUCUAGGGAGUGAAAAAUGCUGUCAUCAAUCUGAGAUAAAACCAUACUUCUCUCAUGAUUUAAGCAGACUCUUCGCAUUGUGGUCCUUGAAAAGAAUAAAGCUGAGCAGCUCAUCUCCAGAUAGCCUGCAAAGGACAGAUGUUUGGCA